rnacentral:rRNA from 1 species
GACGAACGCUGGCGGCGUGCUUAAAACAUGCAAGUCGAACGGGGUCCAGCCAGUCGCAAGACUGGGGAAGACCGAGUGGCGAACGGGUGCGUAACACGUGAGGAACCUGCCCCGGAGACC